GUACUUUCUCUUCUCACAUUAAUCUUCUACUUCUUAUUAGCCACACUUUUACAACGAUUGUAAAACAUAGUCACUAAUACGGAAUCAUGCAUUCAAGUAGAAGAACCAACUGUUUUGAACUAUUCAAGAACAUUUUUCAACACCUUCGAAAUGUGUGUUCUUGACACUUGCAAGACAUUUCUUGCAAAUACCCCUUCCAAUGUCCAUCAUUUCAUAAAG
rnacentral:lncRNA from 1 species